rnacentral:rRNA from 1 species
AUGGGGAUGCAACCCAUCCUCUGCUUGCUUCCAGCACGGCGCCGGCCGGAUCCACCUCGGCCACAACCACGACACCGGCAUUGGCAGCCAUGUGCUUCUUCUCCAUCACCACAAAAUGAGAAUGCAAGGCACAAGCAAGGGAAGACCAUCGCUUCGCUCCUCUGGGCCGCCGCUGCUACAACCCUACUGGACGCCAUGCAAGUAACUUUUUCCCGCCUUGCUGGAGGAGAUGAAGCACAUGGCAAAGCAGGAGUUCAUUGCGCACUUAAGAAGAGGAGGCGUCCUGGAGCACGGUGGAGGCAUUUUGGACGUGGAGCACGGCCUUGCGGUUCCUCGCCUAGGGAGGCCAUGCGAGAAACUUGGGGCAGCAAGGUACUGCCUCUUGCUGCUCCUCCCCCAUGUCUGGAGCUCGCCUGGAGCUCCCCCACGCCUUGA